rnacentral:tRNA from 1 species
GUCCAGAUGGCUUAGUGGUUAGAGCUUCUGCAUAGUAAGCAGGAGACCUGGGUUCAGAUCCCAGUCUGGCACA